ensembl:lncRNA novel transcript
GGAGGAGCAGAUGAAUGGCUUCUACAGGGUGUUCUCCAUCCUGAAAUACCCUGUCAAGUUAAAUGAGAAAUAUCUCUGCCACAUAACAGAGACAGAUGUGAACAACCAGCUCUUCAGAAUCAUCCACAAGUAUCCAAGGGGAUGAAGAAUGCUUUUAUAAAGAGAAUGAAAUCAUUGGCACUGCCUGCUGAUGGGUGGCUCCGCAAGGUACCACAUUGGCCUUGGCCACUGUCCUCUGGCUCCCGACAUCAGGACUUACCUCAAUGCAGAGACAGAUUCUGUCACAUUCUCUAUGUGUCUUUUCAGACUGAAGAAUCUAGGUUGGCUCAGGCCACCUUCACACGGAAGCCUCUCUCCUUCACUGCUGCUCACAUGUCAUCUCUGGAAUGCCUCAUGCUGCCUAUGCUUAGAGCUUUCUUGAGGUGGCCCAGACACAGCAUAGCACACUAGAUGCUUGGUUUCUAUAGAAUGAUCGGUUCCUGUGUUCUGCAAUGGUCUUGUCUAGUCAUAGCAGAAGUAUAGCAGUAUAGUAAGCACUUACAGAGUUAGAAACAUGUUAGGCCUGUUCAUAUAGGGCUGAAAAUCAUCUCACAAAGAUCUGUGAGGCUCAGGGAUUCAUCCCUGUUUGCACUGAGGAGACUGUGACUUCAAGAGCUGGGCCAUGACUGAGGUAAGAGUCAGACCCAGGUGGCUCCAACUCCGGUACUUGAGAGAGGUGCUUCUGUUCUCAUGGUCCACAGUGACGAGUUGGAGAGUCUCCCCUGUGACAUACCACACCGCCUUCUCAACACAGGAACACCCAGUGACUCCACUGCUACUGACAGGGUCUUUCGGGCUCCCCAUUAUGAAAGCAACACUCCUCAGAGUGAUUCUUAGGAGUUCCCAAGAUAUCUUGUCACUCUUCCUAAAAAAUGUUUUUGUAAGGCU